UCCGAAUGGUGGGAGGGCAGAAAAGCCUGAAAACCAUUUACCCUACCGAUGCACCUGGAUUUUGAGACUCAGGCCCCUUCCCUCCUGCAGCGGCAGAGCAAUAUCCAGCGUCUAAGAUGGUGCCUUCCCACCACUGGUGGACCAGAACCCCUAUUCCAAAAAGAAGGGCAAAGAUGGCAUUUUUUCACCAUUGAGGACUUGGAGCACAUGGCAGCCAGACAGUAGCCGGGAUCCAACUCAUGAAGAGAGCAAAAGACACAAGAGGGGAUGCUCACCGGAGCUGCUGAAGAUGCCCCAGUGCAGCACCAGAUAAGCAGCAUUCAAAACAGCAGCUGCAGCAGCCAAACAACCUGACAAACAGCCACACUCAUGCAGCUUAGUGAGGUGCCUGACUCUGGGUCUUCACCUUUCCUUCCAGGGAGUAACAACAACAAAGCUGGGAACAAUUUCAGUCGCUUGGCUAUCUGCAAAGUCUCUAAACUUUUCUCCUCUGAAAUUGGCUGCUGGAAGCCCCUGCACAUCUUCAGGAGGCCCACAACAGCCCACAACAGCCUUCUGGAAGAUCAGCGUGGUGGGGGCAGGAAUGGCUGACCCUGGAAUCCUGAAUCCUGGAAAACACUGAAUCCCAGGGGCUGCUUCUGCAGUCCCUUAUAUUUCCUAUCCGAGUAUUUCACCGGGGGCUAUUCACCCUCACCUGUGGCCCCCUCCAAGGGGUGCCACCUGUAACUUAGCUUUAAUCCCCAAUUACAGUUUGUUAGUCCCUGAGUCUCAAGAGUGUUCACUGAGGCACAUGUAAACUUUCACUAUGUAUUUUAUUCUAGAGAGGUCUAUGCAUUUUACCACAGCUCAGAAUGAAAAUAACUCUUGGAAGAUCACAAUUCUAAUCUUUCCUUAGAAGGAGGUAGAUAUUACAUUAUCUGAAAAUAUUCCAGUGCUCUCUCAUGAGAUUGAUUAUUCUACAUUAGCUCUAUAUCUUUCAUAAAGUAUGUCACAUUUUUCUAGAAAACACAUCAGUAUUAUUUAUAAUUGGCAAUCUCCCCUUGGAUGACUUAGGAUGUACUUCUACCAAGACAUAAAUUCAUAUAUUAAAUAUUAUUCAUGUCAAUUAUGCUCUGAUAAUAGU